UCUUUAGGGAUGCACUUUCUUUGUUGCACUUCGGUGUGCAGGUUAAAGAACUGCAGAGAUACUGAGUUUCAAAGAAAACCUCACAUACAUUAACCUUGGACAAAGGCAGGGGACAUUCUUUGUGCUGCCAGGUGACCACUGGAGCUCAGUGAUGGUCACAUUCACCACCCAGAUGAGCUGUCCUCAGAAAAGCAUAUCUUGAAGUUCAAAUCUUAAUGAGUCAUCUAUGAACUACCAAAUAUUUCACAUUUUAUAUGGAAAUUUUGAGUGCCCUAAGUGCCACCGUGGCUGGGGUGGCUGCAAAUAUUGUAAAUAAUCUCCUCAGCUUAAUGAGUUACCAAACGAGCAAAGGCUCGUCUACCAGGUAAUGAGUCACAGACUCACUUCGUUGUCAAUCAGCUGAGACACCUGAUUUACUGCGAGGGCUACCGGUACCAAAACUAAUCAGAGGCUAUCGAGGAAACCCAAACAGAUCCAACCCACCAGAAUUUAAUCUCCCCACAAAUAAAAUGUACUCAUAAAUCAGGUCAAGCAAGUAAAUGUGCCCCUCUAAUGCUGCUAUUAGGAAAAAUAAAACCACAAAAAGCUCAGUAGGAUGUGAAAACCAUUAUGGUUUCCCUGGGUAAUGUCAGCAGUAUUACACUAAUUCAUAAUACACAGGGAGCUAUAAGAUACUUUCUGCCCUUACAGCUGGCUAAUUAGUCAAGAUAGAAAAAGCAAUUUGACAAAAAUGUUGAUGUCUCAGUUUCCAUUUUGAAGCUUAGAAUGGAUAUGUUUUUACAUUUUUCAAUGAAUUUCUCUGAUAAACGCAGAGGAAAUGAUAGAUAAAAGGUGGUAAAUGAAUAUCUACAAAGACAAGAGUGGAGACAGACUUUGUACUUGGCAGAGUGGGGCCUCUGGAACUUCGAUCCCAACAGGGUCUCUACUUGCUUCUCAUAAGCUGUGUAUGAACCUCUUGAGGACCAAAGGCUGUCAACAAUGCUGGAAGUCAACUACUACAAGAGCUUAUAGCAGAGUAUGAGACCCAAGAGAAACAUUUAUUUUUGGCAAAAAUACUCACUAUAUUCUCAUGUUGCUGCCAGUUUUCGAAGGCACGUCAUUGCUUAUUAAGGUGAACCCAGGAGAUCGCUAUUCAGCUCAGGGAUAUGUAAUCAGUCAAAAAGAUGGUGACUGACCUUAUGGUGCCCGAAGGCAUUGGUAUAGCUAAGGUGACAAAAGGGUGUUCUUUUACAUCAAGUUAGCUCAACUGAAAUUACAUAAGUAUAUAAGGUAACACCCAACAGCACUGGUAGCUGCUAAGAAGCUGCUGUUGAACUGAACUGGUAUCACGCAUUAGUUGAUGGGGCAAGAGAGUCCAGUUCUGGCCAAAAAAAAACCUAAAAACUGGCCUAUGGGAGCUGCUUUCCUUUGGAGAAGCUGGCAUGCAACAGCACAACAGACACUGUCAAUGCAGCUCCUCCUUCUGCUUGCACUGCUCCUACUUUGUGUUUGCUAAUAGUCUUGGUUCUUUUGUGGAGAGCAGAGGACAUUUUUUAAAAUUAUCUGCUCUAUAUUUAGCUUAAAACUGUCCCAUGAAGAAAGACCCUUAUCUUAGCUUGAUAGAAUAUUGCCCACAGUGGUACGUGGCAGGUCUUUCACCUGCCGCGUACUGCAAGGUGUAUUACAGACUCUAAUACUACAAACUCACUGUAAAAAUCACACACGAGAAUCACUUCCAAGAGGAAGAUCCACGCUAAUCCAGAAAAGCCCUAAAACACGUUGCUACCAGGUCAGAAAUUUUGAUAAAGUCAAUUCUGCAAACAGAUACACCAGUAAUUUCAAUAAACUCAGGGACCAGUGUCAUGAGACAGAUUCAUGCUGCACAUAACAUCCAGAGAACAAAAUAUGACUGUGCUGAGUAAAGGAAGCAUGAACGGCAGAUUGAAAGCAUUCAUGCAAAAGUUCAAGAUCCACAGAGAAUAUCAUCGUGGACAGUAAAUAAAAGGCUUGACAGGAAGUCAGGCUGUGCACACAGGGCUAGAUUUCAAGAUGCUGUUGAGUAUCUCUGUACAUAAUUUGUUUAUUAGGUAGCCAAUGUGAUUUAUAAGUAUUGGGUCCUUCAAAUUAUUAUCUAGCAAGAAGUGCAAGGGAACAGCUGUUUUGUGUCUGGUUAGAACCCUAGGUGCUUUCAAAGCACUUACAGCCCCUAUGGUCCAAAACACACGGAAAACUUGCAUAUAAACUUCUGCUUCAUUUUGCUAUUACGUGAAGUUACUUAUGAGGUAGAAAGUGGUUGUUGGAAGGGGGGUGAGCAGAGAGAGGGGAGAAAAAAAAAAAAAAAAGAAAAACAAAGUAAAGGGCCACAAUGUAAUCCCAGGGAUGAACUUUGGGCUGACACACUAAGACUCUGAUGCUCAGAGCUGGGCAGAAGUAGUGUGUAUCACCAGCAACUGUGCCUGUGUGAGAGCUUGGUGUGACUUCCUACACAAAAGAUGGCACCAUCACUUCUUGUACCACCCCGCCACCUGGAAGACAAAUUCUUACUGACUCCAGGGAACAUUGCCUUCUGCUGCAUCAUCAGCCACGGAUGAGUCUGGCCAAGAACAUUUUCCGGAGUGUGACAGUGGCAGGAAAGCAGAACAUUUGUAAUAAGGUGUUCCUGCCAUUGGGAUCUUAGUUG